CAGAGAGGAAUGUUUGGCAGCUUCUCUGGGAAACGCCACUUCAGGGCCUACAGCUGUCAUUGACCAGGCACAUGAAGUCUUCCACAGACAGUUCAACAGUGAGAAGCUGGCAGAGGAAGAUGACCCACCCGAAACUCCCCCUCCCUGCGCUAAUGAGGGACCAGACAAUCUACGACUCAUAGACCUCCUAUGAUGUCUGAAAUCUUUGUUCUUCAAUUUCCCAUCACAUCCAUUGCAAUCUGUACCAGCACUAGGAGAGGGUGUGAUAACACACAGUGGUUCAGGACUGCAGGGCUGGCUGUGAGUGUGUGCGGGGUUGUGGCUCGGUUCGUAUGAAGUAAGGGCAAGCCCAAGACACCAGUGUGACAUUCCUUCAAAGGCCUCAUCAGAACAUCUCCCGACAAAGGAAAGUGUAGCUCAAGGCUCGAGGGGAUUAGCAGGGUCUGGGUCAUUAGGCCUCACCCAAAUAGCCCUGAGGAGAAGCUGCUGGAUCUAUAGCAUGAAACACAUACAACAUCCUCACAGCCGUAUGGUGGGCCCAGCUCAUGAAUAUCAUUACAUAGUAAUGGAGAGUGACUACUAGGGAAUAAAGCACAGGAUCGCACAGUAUGUUUAGCGAGGCUGUCAGGGCGGGAUAAGUGUCUUCAAUAUUUCAUUCUUUUUCUAUUUCAGUCAAAAGUUGAUUCAUGCAAUCGGAGUUGAUGUGAUGUCAUGUCUCUCAUAGAAACUUUUCUACAACAGUACUCCCUCUUUUUUUUUUUUUUUUUUUUUACAGAAACCUUGGCAAAAUAUGGACUGCUGGCCACAUCUAGCACAUCCGCGUUCUCUAACCAGCUCAUCACACUUUUCAGUAAGUCAACUGUGGCGUAAAGAGAUUAAAAGCUUGUUGGAUCAUAUUGAUGACAAUCAGUCACUGGUGGAGUACCAAUGAUCAAUAUUAAAAAACAUUGAUCAGUCGAGGAAAAGAAAUACAACACAGUAAUCAAUGUCCAUAGGUCACUGAGUUUGAAUGAAGACAGAUGGCUUGAAGCAGGAUUGUGACAGCCUGGAUUAAAAACUAUUUGGAUUCAUCAUAAUUUAAAUAUAAGUCGAUGAAGGUCCUGUAUAGAUUGAUCAUCACUUGAACAAAUCAGCAAAAUAACUUUUGCUGUGAGUUGUUUAUUCAUUUGCAAUUGAGCGAAUAAAACGUCCCAUGCCACGAGGUAAUUACUUUUUACAGGCUCUUAUUAAAGCAGUCUCCCAACUCCUAGCAAUAUGGACAAUUGUUUCUACAUCAUUAGUGAAAUUAACAUCAUGUUUAUAAAGCCACUUGUGGAUUGAAUCAUUUCAAUACUAAGUCACUCACAUGAGGGAUGUGAUUGUUUGCAAUACAGACAGAUAAUAAGGUCUUAUCAGUGGAUAAAAAUAAAGCUUGAAGUAAAUUUUAUCACUAUGGAAUUGUAUAUUUGUCAAUCUAUGGAUGUAACAGAAUUAUAGAAAGGGUUAUUCCCAUACUAUGAGAUGAUAAACGUUUUUUUUUUUUACCCUUAAAAGGCCAUGAGGAUAAAUGUUUUUGUUAUUCAUGAAGCACAGCAAAAUGUGGGUAGUUGAGAAAAUGCAUUAGCCACAAAAGCACUGAAAGCUGUGCUACGCUUUGUAUACCAGAGUGACACGUUGACAUUUGAACAUAAUGGUGCCAAUAAUGCAUUCAUCUGUUCUCCAUUUAUGGAGCAGUAGUCAGAAGUGACAGCAGUGAUAACAUAAUUCAGAAACUAUCACAGUACUUCUCCAUUCAUAGAGAACGUGUAUUUAUCACACUAUAAAUGCCGGAUGUGGUAUUUCUCUGUGGAAGUUCAACAUUUUCAAAUAUUAGAUAUUAUAAGCAAUCUGGUUCUCAAUGAUGUAUCUAAUGACACAUUUUCACAUCCCUAAUGUUAAUUUUCAUGCCAAUACUUAAAAGACAUUUCUGAGUUGUUGUUUUUUUUGUCAUGGUUUAAAAAUGAUGCUGGAAUAGCACAGGUCUUUUCAUCAGAUUUCCAAUUCUCCACCACGGCUAUAACACUCUUUUCCUCUUUACAGUCACUGAUAAAUGAUUUACACUGUGUAUGGAUGUACA